GUAUGAUCUCAAGAACUCCCCCAUUCUCCCUGGAUGUUGUAGCUGGAGACUAAGGGCAGCUUUGCAUCCAUGAGACAACUCUAGGAUCUGACCCCAGGACCACCUGCACACCUAAGAAUGGAUUAAAUUACAACUCAGACACAUCCUCACGAGUGGCUGCUCUCGGAAGAUGCGUGUGCAUAGACCAACCCUGUCCCUCCUUUUCACCCUUCAUGGUUUCACACCAGCCCUGCAGCUGCAGAAUCUCCAUUGGUCUGGAGUAUCGGGGGGAAUGCUCUCUGGUGCAGCACGUGCACUUCACCUGAUGCUUAUGGAAGACACACAGCACACAAGCGCACACUAAUAAACAGGAAAACACCUCCUCUGGGAUUGGCCAGAGCUUCGAAGCAGUGCAGGCAGGGCCUUCCUGACAUUGUGGCAUGGCUUCUGCUUGCUGCCUUCUCCCAUAAAGCAGUGGUUCCUCCGUAGAAAGCACUCAGCAGUGGGACUUGGCAAGGCCUGGAACUCUUACCUGGAAAAGCAUUUCUUCAUCUGCAUUUCUGAUGUCACCUACUUCCAUGAAAUGCCUUCCGUAAGAAAAGCCUCAUGUGUCCACAGGCAGGAGCUGAACACU
rnacentral:lncRNA from 1 species